AAUGAUUGGGGUGAAGUCGUAACAAGGUAGCCGUAUCGGAAGGUGCGGCUGGAUCACCUCCUUUCUAAGGAUAUAUUCGGAACAUCUUCUUCGAAGAUGAAAAGGAAUAACGUGACAUAUUGUAUUCAGUUUUGAAUGUUUAUUAACAUUCAAAUUUGUACAUUGAAAACUAGAUAAGUAAGUAAAUAGAUUUUACCAAGCAAACCGAGUGAAUAGAGUUUUAAAUAAGCUUGAAUUCAUAAAUAAUCGCUAGUGUUCGAAAGACACUCACAAGAUUAAUACGCGUUUCCUGGUGGAACAUAGAUUAAGUUAUUAAGGGCGCACGUGGAUGCCUUGCAAUCACUAGUGAUUCGCGCCGCCUGCAGUCGACCAUAUAAAGAGCUCGGCACGCUUGGAGCAUAGAUAAGCGGGGUAGUUCACCUAUCGUCCUG
rnacentral:misc_RNA from 1 species